GCCUGGAUAGCUCAGUUGGUUAGAGCAUGGUGCUGAUAACGCCAAGGUUGUAGGCUCAAUCCCUGUAUGGGACA